rnacentral:tRNA from 1 species
GGUUUAUUAGUAUAAUGAGUAUUUUUGAUUUCCAAUCAAAGGGUAAUUAAACUA